rnacentral:rRNA from 1 species
ACUGGGUGAUUGCCUCAGUAACGGCGAAGUGAACGGCAAGAGCUCAAAUUUGAAAGCUGGCUCCUUCGGGGUCCGUAUUGUAAUUUGCAGAGGAUGCUUCGGGAGCGGCCCCCAUCUAAGUGCCCUGGAACGGGCCGUCAUAGAGGGUGAAAAUCCCGUCUGGGAUGGGGUGUCCGCGCCCGUGUGAAGCUCCUUCGACGAGUCGAGUUGUUUGGGAAUGCAGCUCUAAAUGGGUGGUAAAUUUCAUCUAAAGCUAAAUAUUGGCCGGAGACCGAUAGCGCACAAGUAGAGUGAUCGAAAGAUGAAAAGCACUUUGAAAAGAGAGUUAAACAGCACGUGAAAUUGUUGAAAGGGAAGCGCUUGCGACCAGACUCGCCCACGGGGUUCAGCCGGCAUUCGUGCCGGUGUACUUCCCCGCGGGCGGGCCAGCGUCGGUUUGGGCGGCCGGUCAAGGGCCCUCGGAAUGUAACGCCCCCCGGGGCGUCUUAUAGCCGAGGGUGCCAUGCGGCCAGCCCAGACCGAGGGACGCGCUUCGGUUCGGACGCUGGGAUAAUGGUCGUAAGCGCCCUGU